rnacentral:tRNA from 1 species
GGUUCACUAGCUCAGUCGGUAGAGCACUUGACUUUUAAUCAAGGGGUCGAGAGUUCGAACCUCUCGUGAGCCACCA